rnacentral:rRNA from 1 species
CUUUCCUACGGGGCGCAGCAGUGGGGAAUAUUGGGCAAUGGGCGCAAGCCUGACCCAGCAACGCCGCGUGAAGGAAGAGGGCCCUCGGGUUGUAAACUUCUUUUAUUCGGGACGAAACAAAUGACGGUACCGAAUGAAUAAGCCACGGCUAACUACGUGCCAGCAGCCGCGGUAAUACGUAGGUGGCAAGCGUUAUCCGGAUUUACUGGGUGUAAAGGGCGUGUAGGCGGGGGAGCAAGUCAGACGUGAAAUUCCAGGGCUCAACCCCUGAACUGCGUUUGAAACUGUUCUUCUU